rnacentral:tRNA from 1 species
GGCAACACCCUUUUAGCUCAGUGGUCAAGCGUUGGCUUUGGAAGCCACAGGGCGGUGGUUCGAUUCCACGCGGGCGCCA